AUCCUCAUGAAUAGAUUAAUGUCAUUAUCAGGGGAGUGUGUUUGUUAUUACAGGAGUGGCUUUGUUAUAAAAGCAAGCUCUCUCUGACUCUCUUCUCUUGCCUCCUAACCGUGUGAUGCUCUCCACCCUGUUACGAGGCAACAAGCAAGUCUUCACCAGAUGUAGCCCCCUCGACUUUGGACUUUCCAGCCUCCAGAACAUUGAACUUAAUAAACUUCUUUUCUUUAUAAAUUACCCUGUUUGUGGCAUUUUGUUAAAGCAACAGAAAAUGAACCAACACUUCUCACUGUCUUCUCCACAGCCACUACAUGAGAAAUUCAAUUCCAAAUCACUGCUGUUAGUCCUAAGUGGUGUGGAGCUCAUCAAGUCAGCUUACCCAUGUAUGAAUUAACUAAUCAUAAUAAACAAAGUUACUCUUCUUUAUAAAAUAACUUAUUUUAUAAAUUCUUUAGGCACUUGCUAAAACGAAUAGAAAAAAAUGAGGACCACCAUCAAUUCCAACAUUGAGAACUCGUAUUUUAGUUGGAAAGAAAUGCACACAGUUUGGAAUCCUAUGUAAUCAAGAUAAGAGAACAACAAUUUUCCAAAUGCUUUCCGUGGGCCAGCGUGGAAACUUAACUCUCUCACACAGACAACGAGAUUACACUCUGACACCAAGCCCUGCCCUUGUGGGAAGUAUGAUAAGCCUCAAGGCAAACAAUUCUUCCUUCGCGAUUGCAGUCUGGGCACCUGAUGAUAUAGAAUGACUCAUUGGACUCCUGCCUCUUCUACUUCAUUCUUACCAUGAGCUCCCCUAGAAGAUGUAGUCUUCCACCGUUACCAAAAUCUGCAACCAGAAAGAUCAAGCUCUAGGAAGCAGUACACACUAUACUCCUGUGUGGAAACAAAGUAAUCCUCAUCAGAUCAUCUAACUUGCUGUUGCUGUAAGGACUGUGAAUUGGUAGCAAUAAAUAAGCCAUGGGAAAUAGGAGGGAAAACACCAUCAAUGACAAUAAAAACUGAAUGUGAAA
rnacentral:lncRNA from 1 species